rnacentral:misc_RNA from 1 species
GUAGGUGAACCUGCGGAAGGAUCAUUAAAAAUGAAGCCGGGAAACCGGUCCUUCUAACCCUUGAUUAUCUCAAUUUGUUGCUUUGGUGGGCCGCGCAAGCACCGGCUUCGGCUGGAUCGUGCCUGCCAGAGGAAACAAACUCUGUUUUUAGUGAUGUCUGAGUACUAUAUAAUAGUUAAAACUUUCAACAACGGAUCUCUUGGUUCUG